AACGAACGCUGGCGGCAUGCCUAACACAUGCAAGUCGAACGAGACCUUCGGGUCUAGUGGCGCACGGGUGCGUAACGCGUGGGAACCUGCCCUUAGGUUCGGAAUAACUCCCCGAAAGGGGUGCUAAUACCGGAUAAUGUCUUCGGACCAACGAUUUAUCGCCAUUGGAUGGGCCCGCGUUGGAUUAGCUAGUUGGUAGUGUAAAAGCCUACCAAGGAGACGUUCCAUAGCUGGUCUGGGAGGAUGAUCAGCCACACUGGGACUGAGACACGGACCAGACUCCUACGGGAGGGAGCAGUAGGGAAUAUUGGACGAUGGGGGAAAGCCUGAUCCAGCCAUGCGGGGGGAGUGAGGAAGGCCGUAGGGUUGUAAAGCUGUUUUACCCGGGAUGAUAAUGACAGUACCGGGAGAAUAAGCUCCGGCUAACUACGUG
rnacentral:rRNA from 1 species